rnacentral:miRNA from 1 species
UUUUUUCCUUCUGUGAGUUUU